ACGCUGGCGGCGUGCCUAAUACAUGCAAGUGGGACGCAAGGAAACACACUGUGCUUGCACACCGUGUUUUCUUGAGUCGCGAACGGGUGAGUAACGCGUAGGUAACCUGCCUAUUAGCGGGGGAUAACUAUUGGAAACGAUAGCUAAUACCGCAUAAUAUUAAUUAUUGCAUGAUAAUUGAUUGAAAGAUGCAAGCGCAUCACUAGUAGAUGGACCUGCGUUGUAUUAGCUAGUUGGUAAGGUAAGAGCUUACCAAGGCGACGAUACAUAGCCGACCUGAGAGGGUGAUCGGCCACACUGGGACUGAGACACGGCCCAGACUCCUACGGGAGGCAGCAGUAGGGAAUCUUCGGCAAUGGACGAAAGUCUGACCGAGCAACGCCGCGUGAGUGAAGAAGGUUUUCGGAUCGUAAAGCUCUGUUGUAAGUCAAGAACGUGUGUGAGAGUGGAAAGUUCACACAGUGACGGUAGCUUACCAGAAAGGGACGGCUAACUACGUGCCAGCAGCCGCGGUAAUACGUAGGUCCCGAGCGUUGUCCGGAUUUAUUGGGCGUAAAGGGAGCGCAGGCGGUCAGGAAAGUCUGGAGUAAAAGGCUAUGGCUCAACCAUAGUGUGCUCUGGAAACUGUCUGACUUGAGUGCAGAAGGGGAGAGUGGAAUUCCAUGUGUAGCGGUGAAAUGCGUAGAUAUAUGGAGGAACACCAGUGGCGAAAGCGGCUCUCUGGUCUGUCACUGACGCUGAGGCUCGAAAGCGUGGGUAGCGAACAGGAUUAGAUACCCUGGUAGUCCACGCCGUAAACGAUGAGUGCUAGGUGUUAGGCCCUUUCCGGGGCUUAGUGCCGGAGCUAACGCAAUAAGCACUCCGCCUGGGGAGUACGACCGCAAGGUUUAAACUCAAAGGAAUUGACGGG
rnacentral:rRNA from 1 species